rnacentral:rRNA from 1 species
GCUAAAAACUUAGCCUUANCCCUACAAUUAUAUUUACCCUAUUUUACUUACACAAAAUAAAACAUUCUUUAAGCUUAGUAAAGGAGAUAAAAAAGUUUUUUAGAGCUAUAAAAUAAGUACCGCAAGGGAAAAAUGAAAUAAAAAUGAAACAAAAUUCAAGCAUAAUAUAGUAGAGUUUUCCCCUCGUACCUUUUGCAUCAUGAUUCAACUAGUUUAACCACGCAAAAAGAAUUUAAGUUUGACUUCCCGAAACUAAGUGAGCUACUUCAGGGCAGCUAAAUGAGCCAACCCGUCUCUGUUGCAAAAGAGUGGGAUGACCCUUAAGUAGAGGUGAUAAACCUAACGAACUUAGUGAUAGCUGGUUAUUCAGAAAAAGAAUUUUAGUUCAACUUAAAAUUACAUAAAUAAAAUAAAAUAAAAUUUUAAUUUUAAAGCAAUUCAAAUAAGGUACAGCCUAUUUGAAAUAGAAUACAAUCUAAACUAUAGGGUAAAUAUAAAAAAUUAAUGUAAUAAAGUAGGCCUAAAAGCAGCCAACUUUAAAAUAGCGUCAAAGCUUACUUCCAUAAUUUUUUAAUACUAUUAUUUACAAUGAACCCUUUAUUUUUACUGAAUAUUUCUAUAAAGUUAUAGAACCUUUUAUGUUGAAACUAGUAACAAGAAGUUAAACUUCUCCUCAAUAUAAGUAUAAGUCGACUAGGAUAAACCAUCGACAAUUAACGCUUAAAUUAAAUGUAUUAACUCCACAAGAAAAACUUACAUUACCCCACGUUAAUCUUACACCAGAACAUUUAAGGAAAGAUNNAAAAAA